UACGUAGGAGGCGAGCGUUGUCCGGAUUUACUGGGCGUAAAGCGCGCGCAGGCGGCACACUAAGUACGAUGUGAAAUCUCCCUGCUCAACGGGGAGGGUGCAUAGUAAACUGGUGAGCUAGAGGACGGUAGAGGGGGGUGGAAUUGCUGGUGUAGCGGUGAAAUGCGUAGAGAUCAGCAGGAACACCCGUGGCGAAGGCGGCCCCCUGGGCCGAACCUGACGCUGAGGCGCGAAAGCGUGGGGAGCGAACAGG
rnacentral:rRNA from 1 species